rnacentral:lncRNA from 1 species
GGAAAACUGUGUCAUACUCACUUUAAGAAAAAAUAUAAUACUUCAAGCGGAAGGCUCCGUUUUACCCAUUUCUCUAUUGAGGUCUUGGGGUAUGGAAUUGAUAAGCAAACCACAUUGCUGCAAUUUCCAAUCAAUGUUCAAGAACCAAUGCAAGAUGAUCAAGUACCCAGAGCCCCUUUGAGGAACAUCACCAAUCAGUACCCACAGGGCGGCUACUAAUCUCAGAUCUCAGCCGUCAGCUUCAGGAAUUGAUAAGCAAGCAAACCGCAUCGCUGCAAUUUGCUAGCAAUAUUCAAGAACCGAUGCAAGAUGAUCAAAUACCCAGAGCCCCUUUGAGGAACAUCACUGAUGUCAGUUCUCAGCCGUCAACUUCAGGUCACGCGCCACGACACAUACCCCGAUUUUUCACGGAAGCUAGCAGUUUGGCCAAACAAAUAAAAAACCUUACUGAGACAAAAGAAAAAUAUUCUGUAAGAUUAAAAAAAAGCUUAUGUGUCUAUCCACAAACACAUCUUUUCAAAAGGCUAUUAGGAGUUUCAUCGUUGAACAUCUUCUCUUCACCACACCCACACACACUCUCUCUCUCUCUCUCUUUCUUGAUUCUUUGAACUAAUAAGAAAGGUCCAUUUUAUUCAUAAGAGUGCAAAGUAAUUUGAUUCAAAUUUUAAAUUGAAGUUCUAAACUGCUGGUAGAAUGUACCUUUUAGUAAUGAUUUUGAAUUGGAAAUGUUUAUUUAAUUGUUGAAAUGUUUUUUUACAGUUCGUUUAUUGCUCGUGUUGGUGUGGUGAAAAUUGUCUGUAGGAAACACUGCGCUUGAAAUAAUUAAGACGCAUUAGGAGAAGUAAUUCUCUAAACGCUUUCGACUAGUUCUUUCCUGGUUUUUGAAGCUAAGUAGUAUCACCACCAAUUACGUAACUAUAAAACAUAUUUUAAAAUAAAUUAUUAAAAACUAUUCCCCUG